rnacentral:pre_miRNA from 1 species
CAUCUACUCCCUCCGUUCGGAAUUACUUGUCACAAAAAUGGAUAGAAAUGGAUGUAUCUAUAACUAAAAUACAUCUAGAUACAUUCAUUUCUUGGACGAGUAAUUCCGAACGGAGAGAGUAAUGA